rnacentral:rRNA from 1 species
CCUGGAGACUCCUACGGGAGGCAGCAGUGGGGAAUAUUGCACAAUGGGGGAAACCCUGAUGCAGCGACGCCGCGUGAGUGAAGAAGUAUUUCGGUAUGUAAAGCUCUAUCAGCAGGGAAGAUAAUGACAGUACCUGACUAAGAAGCCCCGGCUAACUACGUGCCAGCAGCCGCGGUAAUACGUAGGGGGCAAGCGUUAUCCGGAUUUACUGGGUGUAAAGGGAGCGUAGACGGAGUGGCAAGUCUGAAGUGAAAACCCUGGGCUUAACCUGGGGACUGCUUUGGAAACUGUUAAUCUAGAGUGUUGGAGAGGUAAGUGGAAUUCCUGGUGUAGCGGUGAAAUGCGUAGAUAUCAGGAAGAACACCGGAGGCGAAGGCGGCUUACUGGACAAUAACUGACGUUGAGGCUCGAAAGCGUGGGGAUCAAACAGGAUUAGAAACCCCGGUAGUCC